CCUACGGGAGGCAGCAGUGGGGAAUAUUGGACAAUGGGGGCAACCCUGAUCCAGCCAUGCCGCGUGUGUGAAGAAGGCCCUCGGGUUGUAAAGCACUUUCAGUGAGGAAGAACGCCUGGUGGUUAAUACCCAUCAGGAAAGACAUCACUCACAGAAGAAGCACCGGCUAACUCCGUGCCAGCAGCCGCGGUAAUACGGAGGGUGCGAGCGUUAAUCGGAAUUACUGGGCGUAAAGCGCGCGUAGGUGGCUUGAUAAGCCGGUUGUGAAAGCCCCGGGCUCAACCUGGGAACGGCAUCCGGAACUGUCAAGCUAGAGUGCAGGAGAGGAAGGUAGAAUUCCCGGUGUAGCGGUGAAAUGCGUAGAGAUCGGGAGGAAUACCAGUGGCGAAGGCGACCUUCUGGACUGACACUGACACUGAGGUGCGAAAGCGUGGGUAGCAAACAGGAUUAGAUACCCGGGUAGUC
rnacentral:rRNA from 1 species